rnacentral:lncRNA from 1 species
ACUAUGUUCUAUCAAACUAUCAACAGCACUAACAUUGAUUGGUAUCUGACUCUUAACAGAAAUACUGCUCUGAUCUGUACUAGUAUCAAAGUUUUUGAGUAAUUGGGCAGAUUCUCGUCAGAUCCAUGUGUUUAUCGGCAUGUCUUCUCCUGCAGGGAGGGAGUCUGCGCCUUGCCCCUGCAAGUGUCCACCUGCUCAGGUACAGGCAUUUGGCCACCCACUUGGUCCAUACGCAUCCAGAGUGUUCUCAACAGUGGCAGGAGCUGAGAGGUGUCAUGGUGUCCGGUGGAUGCUAAAAAAGACAUCACCUCUGACCUCAAGGUAGGACUCUUUAAGCAUAUACUUUCUUCUCUGAUCCACAGUUUCUAACUUGGUGUCAAUUUUCACAUAACCAAGCAGUACUAAGUGCAGUACUGUGCAGAAGUCUUGAGCCACCCCGCAUUUCUUCAUACUUUGCUUCCUGGGAAAAAAAUUUUCUUUUCUUUUUUUUGGUUAACCCACUUAACACUGAACUAUGAAUUAUUUAAGAAUAUAAAAAUGCACCUAACUUAAGAGAUCAGCCCCUGUUUUGUCUAAAUCUGACAGACAACUUAGCAAAGAACUCAUUUUUAACUGAAUCUUUACUCACUUUGUUACUAGAAACCUGUCACAAAAACAUAUUUGUUCCCUUUUCUUUCGUUGACUUCCCCAAAAAAGUAAAACAUAACAUAAAAAUUGUAUUUUCGCACCAACAAGGUUAUAUUGAAACAGCUAUUAGCCAAAAACUGAGGAUAUCUUGACAUAGUGUGCAGUGUCUCUUUGAAAAUUUUGAGGAAAUUGGACAAGCAGAGGACAAACGGAUAAGUGGCAGGCCUAAAACAGCAUCUUAAACUCAUGCCUGUAAGAAACAAAGACAAAUGCUGACAAGAGGACCUCAGAGAUGCAUGUGGCCCUUCAUCUGAUCCAUCUAAUGAUCACUGAAGCCUCAUCAGCAAUGGUGUCAGGGGAAAAGUGGCUGCCAAGAAGCCAUUCUUUGUGACCAUGGACGAAGGAAGGGAAA